AGCAGCCGCGGUAAUUCCAGCUCCAAUAGCGUAUAUUAAAGUUGUUGCAGUUAAAAAGCUCGUAGUUGAAUUUCGGGAUUAAUAUGUUGGUCGUGCCUUGGUACGUACUGGCAUUAUUGAUUCCUACCUUCUGAAGAACCUCGAUGUCAUUAAUUUGGUGUCUUGGGGAAUCAGGACCGUUACUUUGAAAAAAUUAGAGUGUUUAAAGCAGGCUCGCGCUUGAAUACAUUAGCAUGGAAUAAUGAAAUAGGACGUUUGAUUCUAUUUUGUUGGUUUCUAGGAUCGACGUAAUGAUUAAUAGGGAUAGUUGGGGGCAUUAGUAUUCAAUUGUCAGAGGUGAAAUUCUUGGAUUUAUUGAAGACUGACUACUGCGAAAGCAUUUGCCAAGGAUGUUUUCAUUAAUCAAGAACGAAAGUUAGGGGAUCGAAGACGAUCAGAUACCGUCGUAGUCUUAACCAUAAACUAUGCCGACUAGGGAUCGGAUGAUGUUAAUUUUUUAAUGACUCAUUCGGCGUCCUUA
rnacentral:misc_RNA from 1 species